GCUUAACACAUGCAAGUCGAGGGGCAGCAUUUUAGUUUGCUUGCAAACUGAAGAUGGCGACCGGCGCACGGGUGAGUAACACGUAUCCAACCUGCCGAUAACUCCGGAAUAGCCUUUCGAAAGAAAGAUUAAUACCGGAUAGCAUACGAAUAUCGCAUGAUAUUUUUAUUAAAGAAUUUCGGUUAUCGAUGGGGAUGCGUUCCAUUAGUUUGUUGGCGGGGUAACGGCCCACCAAGACUACGAUGGAUAGGGGUUCUGAGAGGAAGGUCCCCCACAUUGGAACUGAGACACGGUCCAAACUCCUACGGGAGGCAGCAGUGAGGAAUAUUGGUCAAUGGGCGAGAGCCUGAACCAGCCAAGUAGCGUGAAGGAUGAAGGCUCUAUGGGUCGUAAACUUCUUUUAUAUGGGAAUAAAGUUUUCCACGUGUGGAAUUUUGUAUGUACCAUAUGAAUAAGGAUCGGCUAACUCCGUGCCAGCAGCCGCGGUAAUACGGAGGAUCCGAGCGUUAUCCGGAUUUAUUGGGUUUAAAGGGAGCGUAGGUGGAUUGUUAAGUCAGUUGUGAAAGUUUGCGGCUCAACCGUAAAAUUGCAGUUGAAACUGGCAGUCUUGAGUACAGUAGAGGUGGGCGGAAUUCGUGGUGUAGCGGUGAAAUGCUUAGAUAUCACGAAGAACUCCGAUUGCGAAGGCAGCUCACUAGACUGUCACUGACACUGAUGCUCGAAAGUGUGGGUAUCAAACAGGAUUAGAUACCCUGGUAGUCCACACAGUAAACGAUGAAUACUCGCUGUUUGUGAUAUACAGUAAGCGGCCAAGCGAAAGCAUUAAGUAUUCCACCUGGGGAGUACGCCGGCAACGGUGAAACUCAAAGGAAUUGACGGGGGCCCGCACAAGCGGAGGAACAUGUGGUUUAAUUCGAUGAUACGCGAGGAACCUUACCCGGGCUUAAAUUGCAACAGAAUAUAUUGGAAACAGUAUAGCCGUAAGGCUGUUGUGAAGGUGCUGCAUGGUUGUCGUCAGCUCGUGCCGUGAGGUGUCGGCUUAAGUGCCAUAACGAGCGCAACCCUUAUCUUUAGUUACUAACAGGUCAUGCUGAGGACUCUAGAGAGACUGCCGUCGUAAGAUGUGAGGAAGGUGGGGAUGACGUCAAAUCAGCACGGCCCUUACGUCCGGGGCUACACACGUGUUACAAUGGGGGGUACAGAAGGCGGCUACCUGGUGACAGGAUGCUAAUCCCAAAAACCUCUCUCAGUUCGGAUCGAAGUCUGCAACCCGACUUCGUGAAGCUGGAUUCGCUAGUAAUCGCGCAUCAGCCAUGGCGCGGUGAAUACGUUCCCGGGCCUUGUACACACCGCCCGUCAAGCCAUGAAAGCCGGGGGUACCUGAAGUACGUAACCGCAAGGAGCGUCCUAGGGUAAAACUGGUAAUUGGGGCUAAA
rnacentral:rRNA from 1 species